rnacentral:rRNA from 1 species
GAUGAACGCUGGCGGCGUGCCUAAUACAUGCAAGUCGAGCGAACGGACGAGAAGCUUGCUUCUCUGAUGUUAGCGGCGGACGGGUGAGUAACACGCGGAUAACCUACCUAUAAGACUGGGAUAACUUCGGGAAACCGGAGCUAAUACCGGAUAAUAUUUUGAACCGCAUGGUUCAAAAGUGAAAGACGGUCUUGCUGUCACUUAUAGAUGGAUCCGCGCUGCAUUAGCUAGUUGGUAAGGUAACGGCUUACCAAGGCAACGAUGCAUAGCCGACCUGAGAGGGUGAUCGGCCACACUGGAACUGAGACACGGUCCAGACUCCUACGGGAGGCAGCAGUAGGGAAUCUUCCGCAAUGGGCGAAAGCCUGACGGAGCAACGCCGCGUGAGUGAUGAAGGUCUUCGGAUCGUAAAACUCUGUUAUUAGGGAAGAACAUAUGUGUAAGUAACUGUGCACAUCUUGACGGUACCUAAUCAGAAAGCCACGGCUAACUACGUGCCAGCAGCCGCGGUAAUACGUAGGUGGCAAGCGUUAUCCGGAAUUAUUGGGCGUAAAGCGCGCGUAGGCGGUUUUUUAAGUCUGAUGUGAAAGCCCACGGCUCAACCGUGGAGGGUCAUUGGAAACUGGAAAACUUGAGUGCAGAAGAGGAAAGUGGAAUUCCAUGUGUAGCGGUGAAAUGCGCAGAGAUAUGGAGGAACACCAGUGGCGAAGGCGACUUUCUGGUCUGUAACUGACGCUGAUGUGCGAAAGCGUGGGGAUCAAACAGGAUUAGAUACCCUGGUAGUCCACGCCGUAAACGAUGAGUGCUAAGUGUUAGGGGGUUUCCGCCCCUUAGUGCUGCAGCUAACGCAUUAAGCACUCCGCCUGGGGAGUACGACCGCAAGGUUGAAACUCAAAGGAAUUGACGGGGACCCGCACAAGCGGUGGAGCAUGUGGUUUAAUUCGAAGCAACGCGAAGAACCUUACCAAAUCUUGACAUCCUUUGACAACUCUAGAGAUAGAGCCUUCCCCUUGGGGGGACAAAGUGACAGGUGGUGCAUGGUUGUCGUCAGCUCGUGUCGUGAGAUGUUGGGUUAAGUCCCGCAACGAGCGCAACCCUUAAGCUUAGUUGCCAUCAUUAAGUUGGGCACUCUAAGUUGACUGCCGGUGACAAACCGGAGGAAGGUGGGGAUGACGUCAAAUCAUCAUGCCCCUUAUGAUUUGGGCUACACACGUGCUACAAUGGACAAUACAAAGGGCAGCGAAACCGCGAGGUCAAGCAAAUCCCAUAAAGUUGUUCUCAGUUCGGAUUGUAGUCUGCAACUCGACUACAUGAAGCUGGAAUCGCUAGUAAUCGUAGAUCAGCAUGCUACGGUGAAUACGUUCCCGGGUCU